GACGAACGCUGGCGGCGUGCUUAACACAUGCAAGUCGAGCGGUAAGGCCCUUUCGGGGGUACACGAGCGGCGAACGGGUGAGUAACACGUGGGUGACCUGCCCUCAGCUCUGGGAUAAGCCUGGGAAACUGGGUCUAAUACUGGAUAUGACUCCACGGUGCAUGUCGUGGGGUGGAAAGCCUUGUGCGGCUGAGGAUGGGCCCGCGGCCUAUCAGCUUGUUGGUGGGGNGAUGGCCUACCAAGGCGACGACGGGUAGCCGGCCUGAGAGGGCGACCGGCCACACGU
rnacentral:rRNA from 1 species